rnacentral:lncRNA from 1 species
GCUGACUCUCUUUUCAGACUCAGCCCACUUGCACCCAAGUGAAUUAACAGCCUUGUUGCUCACACAAAGCCUGUUUAGGUGGUCUUCUAUACGGACAUGCUUGACACUUGGUGCCAAAAUCUGGGCCAGGGGGACUCCUUCGUGAGACCGGCCCCCUGUCCUGGCCCUCAUUCCGUGAAGAGAUCCACCUGCGACCUCGGGUCCUCAGACCAGCCCAAGGAACAUCUCACCAAUUUCAAAUCGGAUCUCCUCGGCUUAGUGGCUGAAGACUGAUGCUGCCCGAUCGCCUCAGAAGCCCCUUGGACCAUCACAGAUGCCGAGCUUCGGAUUCCCAGCCAUAUGAAGACACCCUAGCUGGACGAUCAGUCCUUGUCAAAAGUCUGACCCCUCAAACUCUACAGCCUCAAUGGACCAGACCCUACCCGGUCAUUUAUAGCACACCAACUGCCGUCCAUCUGCAGGACCCUCUCCAUUGGGUUCACCAUUCCAGAAUAAAGCCAUGCCCAUCAGACAGCCAGCUUGAUCUCUCCUCUUCCUCCUGGAAGCCACAAGAUUAGGCCGAGAGCCGAUCAGACAAACAACCUACAACCCUUAAGCUCCUGGCAGCGCCCAGCCAAGGCCAUGCUUCCUUGCAACACUCCUUCCAAAUGGCCAUCCCAGCAUGCUUCCAAGCAGGCUUCAUCCGUUCCUCUGGACCCUCAUCUCUUAAGACCUGCCGCCUAUAAAAAGGAUUAUAUCUUGAGACCCUAUCCUCUAAAAUUUUUUCCACACCCAAAACAAAAAAUCUCUGGGUCAAAAGUCUAAAACGCUUAGGCUGGCAACCAUCAGAUCCUUGCCCAUGGUGUCCUCAAGCCUACUCUCAUGAAAUGGACAACAGUACACGCAUAUGGGGCCAGUUCCACAUAUUUGGCAACCAGACCAGCAUCCAGGACAACACAAAGUAUGUUGUUUGUUGUUAGAGGGCUUGGGACAUUUCACUCUUUGCCAGCCUCAGCUUAAUCCAGGAGACAAAGAUUAUUUUCCUUAUUAUCUCUUCUGCAUAGGAUCUGCAAUCAGAACUAUUGAACUUCUCCAUUCAGACCGCCACUCACACCUAUGGGAAAAGGGUAAUGUAUCAUCGGCUUAGCAACAGGGAAUACUAUUCGUAUGAUGGAAAAUGGGGACAAAAGGCUUUGGUACAUAAAACAUUAUUCCUUCCUUGGCCUAAAAACUCAUCGCCACCUACAUUAAAGCUAAUAUGCCUGA